CGUGGAAGCUUGUUGCGUGAAGACGUACGAAUUGACAUUUCUGAUACGUAUCCUGUCAAUUGCGUGUUACAGAUUCGUACUGCUAUCCUGCUAUCUUCAAAUACUACUACGAGACAUCAGGUUGUUGGUUAAUGAUGUGGUUGGCACGAAAGGAAUAUAAAUUCGGAAUAUGGACGAAAUGUGCAACGAAAUAUAGAACGACAUAUCGACGAAACAUAACAUAGAUGAAAAUAUGGCGAUUCUCGAUUAAUUUGAUGGCUUCCGGUGAUUUGGUUUCUUCCAGCCUUCACUUGUUCUAUCGAAAUCGACGAUCUCGAAUUGAGAUUCCGGCUUGAUCACGACUUCCUUCAGGAUACAAUAUCGAUGAUAACGUUCUUCGCAUUUAAUGAAAGAGGGCAUUGCGCCCGAAGAAAGAAGAGGCUAUAAGCCGAAGAGGCCCGGCAAACUGCCAUUCAAGAGGGCAACUACUAAUGGCUCUGCAUCCUCUGGGUCAUCCAUAGCAUGGAAAGUCAUUCUCGUUACUACUUUGUCACUAUGCUCAAUUUUAGUCUUUAUGGUAGUAGUGGUAGUUCUUUUUUUUUUCUUUUUGGCCGAUGUAUAUAUCGGUCCAUCAUCACAUUGGGCAAAUCGUGGUUUUUCUUAUUAGUGUCGCGAGAGAUUAAUUACGGGUUGAAUUAGAGUUGCGAAAUAAUAUUGCGGCUUUCAUUAGUGUAGCGAGAAAAUGAAUACGGUUUGAAUUAGAGUUGCGAUAAAAUGAUAAUCGCGUUUGCUUUAGAGUUACGAAUUACGAUAUCGUGAUUGUCUUUUGCAAUUUUUAUUAUGAAUUUUCAGAAUUUCUGACAGAGUAAUACGUAUUAGAGUAUUCCUUGUUUCCUUUAGAAUUUUUCCGUCAUUUAAAAUUAGAUUUAGAAGUAUUAACGUUUGAUUAAUUUUGUAACUCUCACAUAUUUCGGGUCGCAUGACCUCUCCCUACCAUUUUCGUAUCGCAUGCAAAGUUACUAUUUCAGUUUAAUAUUGGUUUAAAUUAAAACUAUAAUCUUGUACAAAACUAUAAAUAAAAUAUAAAACAGGAUAUCCAAUAGUUGCAAUGAAAUAUAAUUCUAUUUUGCUACAAUACUUCAGAAAACAUCACACACUCUCAAAAUAAUAAA